rnacentral:lncRNA from 1 species
UAAUCAGAUUAUGGUGUGAGCCCAAUUGGAUUAAAGUGGGCGCCCCAAAUGGAUAAGGAUGAAGAGUCCUGAUUAAUAUGGACUCUUUGGCGCCAACCCUUGCUUGUGCUUAUCCAAAGUUGGUGCCAACAUAGGAGAGAGGGUGGAGGUUCUUAUCUGAUAUGAUCAGAUGACAUCACUCCACCAAUCAAAAUUUUUUCAAAAUUAAUUAGAAUUUUUUGAUUGGUCAAAUGAUGUGGCACUGCGCAGCGCAGCAGGGUCUAUAUAAACCCUACCUACGCCUAGGGUUUUAAGUUUGUGUGAAAAACCAUCAAAGAUGCUGCCCCCUCCCUUCUUCUCCAUAUUCUCCCUACUCUCCUAUCUCCCCUCUUCAUGUUCAAGGAGUUGGAUCUUCAUCUGGUGCAAGGAAAAGGUGUGGUGAUGCCUAGAAUAGAAGGCUACAGGACAUCUUCGAUAGGCUGCUGCUUCAACUUUAGAAGGAGUUCUGAAGCACUUUCAAAUCAGAUAGAGAUCUGAUUUUUGGAGCAUAGAUUCGCAAGGAGAAGAUGUUCUAGGUCCUACCUAAGUGGAUACCGAUAGAGGCCAGGUACUUGCUUGGCUACAUCAGAACCUCGAGCUGUGCAGAGAUCAUCUACAGGAUAAUCAGAUUAUCCUUGAGGUAUGUCUAUACUUCUCAUACUUUUAGAUUUAAUUUUAGAUUUUAAAUAUUAGAUAAUAAAAUUAGAUCUAACAUACAUUAGAUCUGAAAUAGUGUAGGAUAAAAAAUUUUAAAUUAUUUCACCCCAGAUUUGAUGAAAUCUGGAAGA